rnacentral:rRNA from 1 species
UACAGAGGUCCCAAGCGUUGUUCGGAUUCACUGGGCGUAAAGGGUGCGUAGGCGGUCAUUUAAGUCUGACGUGAAAUCUCCGGGCCUAACCCGGAAACUGCGUUGGAAACUAUCUGACUAGAGGAAUGGAGGGGAGACUGGAAUACUUGGUGUAGCAGUGAAAUGCGUAGAUAUCCGGAGGAACACCAGUGGCGAAGGCGACACGCUGGGCCGUACCUGACACUGAUGCGCGACAGCAUGGGGAGCAAACAGG